rnacentral:lncRNA from 1 species
AUGCCCCAGGCCACAGUCCAGUCUCUGAAGUUUCACCCAGCAGGGGGGAGGAGGGGCAGCCAGGCCAGGGUGGUGCCUCUUCUGGUCGCCCAGAUCACUCCAGAGCAUCCUCUGAGCUGGCCAGGGUUUUGGAUAGGAGGCUUUCCUGAAGGCGGUAGAGGUGCUGGAUUUGAAUCCCGUCAUCCAGGUGGGAACAUGACCAGGUCCCAGGAGCUUUGCAGGUCAUCCAUUUUCUUUGUCAGAUAUCACUUUAUUAUUAGUCCUCAUGCUGGGCAGCCCACAGCAAAUACAUUUAGAGAGACAUCUCCAGAUUCUCCCAGCCACCCUCUUCUUUUUCUGGGUGAGGCCAGAGGGAGUGACUGGGGACAUAUUCUCGGGCUGCUCAACAAGGGUCGAGCUUCCCACAUCAGGCACCUCCGGGCGGCAGUGGCUUCCUUCAGGGACUUUACCGCUGAUGUCAUGGGUGCCACUGGUGUUGCAGGUGUCACAGGUGAUGUGGUUGUCCUGUGUGCCAUGGGUUCUGUGAGUGCUGUGAGCGACGCAGGUGCUACGGGUGACACUGGUGUCACGGGUGCCUCUGGUGUCACGGGUGGGGCAGGUGUCACUGGUGACACUGGUGUCACCAGUAUCUCGGUUGCCAUGGGUGUCAUCUAUGUUGCAGGCCCCAGUGGUGUCCUGGGUGCUCAGGGCGUCAUAGGUGAGGCUGGGAUCACAGGUGUGGCUGGUGUCACGGGUGCUGCAGGCGUCACAGGUGAGGCUGGUACCUCUGGUAUUGCAGCUGUCACAGGUGCUGAUGGUGUCACGGGCGUCUCUGGUGCCACGGGUAACGAUGGUAUCACGGGUGUGGCUGCUGUCACGCCUGCUGCAGGGGUCGCAGGUGAGCCUGGUCCUGCACGUGUCGUGGUGUUCACCGGCAUGAUCGGUGGCUCAGGGGAUGCUGGCAUCGCGUGUGUUGCAAGUGGAGGGGGCUGGGCUGGGGUUGAUGGUCCUCGCUUCCGGGCAGGGUGGGGGAGUGGCAGGCUCUCUGGCCUUCUCCGUUGA